UACGGCUCAGUAACACGUAGUCAACUUACCCUAUGGACGAGGAUAAUCUCGGGAAACUGAGCAUAAUACCCGGCAGACCACUUAUCCUGGAAUGGUUAGUGGUUAAAAUGAUUCGUCGCCAUAGGAUGGGACUGCGGCCUAUCAGCUUGUUGGUGAGGUAAUGGCCCACCAAGGCGAUUACAGGUACGGGCUCUGAGAGGAGAGGCCCGGAGAUGGGUACUGAGACAAGGACCCAGGCCCUAUGGGGCGCAGCAGGCGAGAAAACUUUGCAAUGUGCGAAAGCACGACAAGGUUAAUCCGAGUGAUUUCUGCUAAAGGAAUCUUUUGUUAGUUCUAAAAAUACUAGUGAAUAAGGGGUGGGCAAGUUCUGGUGUCAGCCGCCGCGGUAAAACCAGCACCUCAAGUGGUCAGGAGGAUUAUUGGGCCUAAAGCAUCCGUAGCCUGUUCUAUAAGUUUGCGGUUAAAUCUAUACGCUCAACG
rnacentral:rRNA from 1 species